UACGGGGGGGGCAAGCGUUGUUCGGAAUUACUGGGCGUAAAGGGCUCGUAGGCGGCCAACUAAGUCAGACGUGAAAUCCCUCGGCUUAACCGGGGAACUGCGUCUGAUACUGGAUGGCUUGAGUUUGGGAGAGGGAUGCGGAAUUCCAGGUGUAGCGGUGAAAUGCGUAGAUAUCUGGAGGAAUACCGGUGGCGAAGGCGGCAUCCUGGACCAUUACUGACGCUGAGGCGCGAAGGCCAGGGGAGCGAACGGG
rnacentral:rRNA from 1 species